rnacentral:hammerhead_ribozyme from 1 species
AUCCAGAUGACGAGUACCAAAUAAGACGAAACGCACGUUCUUCUGGAU